UACAGAGGGGGCAAGCGUUGUUCGGAAUUACUGGGCGUAAAGGGCGCGUAGGCGGCCUGUUAAGUCGAACGUGAAAUCCCUGGGCUCAACCCAGGAACUGCGUCCGAUACUGGCAGGCUUGAAUCCGGGAGAGGGAUGUGGAAUUCCAGGUGUAGCGGUGAAAUGCGUAGAUAUCCGGAGGAACACCGGUGGCGAAGGCGGCUUCCUGGACCGACACUGACGCUGAGGCGCGAAAGCUAGGGGAGCAAACGGG
rnacentral:rRNA from 1 species